GCGGGAGUGGUGAAAUUGGCAGACACGCAGGAUUUAGGUUCCUGUGCCUUUGGCGUGGGGGUUCAAGUCCCCCCUUCCGCA
rnacentral:tRNA from 2 species